rnacentral:rRNA from 1 species
CACCGAAGCCUGCGGCAGUUUUGCUGUUAGGCAAUGUGGUGUUUGGGUCGGCUAGUAGGAUUGCCACUCCACUCGAAGUCCAGCAUUGAGUAUGGUCUCUGGAUUUGGCCCUUAGAGGGUGAAAGGCCCGUACGGGUGGAGGUUUCAGAUAUGAAAGGCAAUUCACCAGGCCGGCCUUAGAGUCGGGUUGUUUGAGAAUGCAGCCCAAAGCGGGUGGUAAACUCCAUCCAAGGCUAAAUACUAGCACGAGUCCGAUAGCAAACAAGUACCGUGAGGGAAAGUUGAAAAGUACUCUGAAGAGAGAGUAAACAGUACGUGAAACCGCAUGCAGGUAAACGGGUGGCGUCAAGCUGCACGCCCAGAGGAUUCAGCCGGUUAGGGUGUGGUGUAUGCGCCUGUCGCGUCCAUCGGUCAGAAUAGAAUUGAACAGUCCACUGGUAUACGGUGGGCCCAGCCGCAAGGUUGGGAUUUGUGUACCGAGCGGAAGCCGGAGCAUGCUGUUUGUCUGUUGGACCGUCUAGCCGGUGCACUUUCUCUGUGGUGGACACCACGACCGGUGGUACUGCCAGUCUGCUGUAGUCAAGUCGUGUUGAAUUGGUACUUGUGACCAACUCAGUGCGAUCACAGGCAAUUUCAGUAAACGGCGUAGGUGUGUCUCGGCAUGCCUACGUGUUAUCGGCUACUGGUUGUGAACGGGCCUGCUUAGUGGUGCAAACCUACUAGGUGGUCUGGUGGACUAUGGUGGUAAGAAUAACUGUGCAGGGCACCGGUGUUCUCGGCCUCAAAUGCAACUUGCAUCCACCUUUGCUGUGUGGGGAGUGCUAUUGCAGUCUGCCUGUUGUUGGGUUUGAUUGUCGUGUCGCCUGCGUAAAGUGGGCCCGGCGAUAGCCUGAUGCAGGAUGGUACUGUAUAUAUCCUGUAGCAAUGCUCCUAGCGUGCAAGUUGUAGUGGGCCUAAUAGUCAGUGGUGUAGUGGUAGAUCAGCCACCCGACCCGUCUUGAAACACGGACCAAGGAGUUUAACAUGUAUGCAAGUCGUAGGGUCCUACGAAACCUGAAGGCGCAAUGAAAGUGAAGCUUCGACUUGUUCUCGGAGUGAGGUGAGAUCCUGCCGUUACUCGCAUCAGUUCUGUCAGUGGCAGGCUAAGAGCGGUAGGCGCAUCACCGGCCCGUCUUAUGAUGUGGUCAUUGGA